CGCGUGUUGUUGUGAGUGUCGUCAUUAUAGGCCUCUUGUCAACAAGGACAUACAGUCUGGGAGUACAGUCUGGCUUGCUAACAGGUCAGAGCCAUUUCCGCAUGUAGAAUGGAAGGAGAAGAUUCAGCUCAGAGGUGGUCCCUUCGUAGAUGUGCAUGAGAUCAAGAAAUGGCUGCCGAAAUUCCACACAUCUCUUAAAAGCUGUGACUUCAAUGAGGGUCAUCGCCACACCAGAACACCCACAGCAAAAGAGAGGGAAAAUCAGCAAAAUCUUUUCUCUUUCAAGAAAACAACGCAUUAGAACUCAAAGCUUUAGACAGAAUUACCUGGCCUGCGGAAAUUUGACAAUGGGAUUCUAGAUACCAGAAGGCCGCUUGCUCAAAAUGGUUCGGCGCAAGACAUCAUCAAAGCGCUGCAAAGUUUUAUAUGGUGUACUAGCUGCCCUGCUAACAGGACCACUACUAAUUUUAACCACUCAGCAGGUGUGCGUCACCAGCUAUAUGCUUCGUCUAAAGCCUCAUCGUGGUGGGGAUAACCUACUUUUUACUCUCCUUUUUUUCUUUUAUAUCCUCAUGAACAUUAUAGUCGCUCGCCUCCUCUGGAGUGUAAUCAGCAACUUGCAUAGAUUAUGGAAAAGGUCCUCCAGAUACUCCAAUAAAACACUUAUGUACACAGUGUGUGAACCAAACUGCACAUGCACAGUGUGUGAACCAAAGAGGACCAGAAGUGGCAAAAUAUAUGGCUACAGGUGUGUUGUGUGUACCAGGUGACGGGAACAUUGGGAUAGUCUUUGUAAAUUGCCUGGUAUCUGUACAAGGGUUUCAUGGACCUCUGGCAAAUAAGAAUUGGAUGCUUAGAUCCUGGGGGCUUGCACAAACACUACAGAUGUGACAAAAUGUCAGAACGUAGCAAGAUGUUGAGCCAGUAGAAGGCAAAAUAAAAAGCAGAUUAAGCAGUAUUUUAUGGAAUACAUAAUUUCCCGAUAUGUUUUUCUAGCCAUCUUUACUUAAGUCUUUCAAGCUUUUAAAUAGCUCAGAAUAAACCAAAUGAAAUAAGA